AACGCUGGCGGCGUGCUUAACAGAUGCAAGUCGAGUGCGCGUUUCCGUAGCAAUACGGGAAUGGCGCACGGCGCACGGGUGCGUAACACGUGGGUAAUCUGCCCUCUGAUGGGGAAUAACUCGCCGAAAGGCGAGCUAAUACCGCAUAGCAUUCCUUGGACUCCGGUUCGAGGAUUCAAAGGCGUAAGUCGUCGGAGGAGGAGCCCGCGCACGAUUAGCUAGUUGGUAGGGUAACGGCCUACCAAGGCUAUGAUCGUUAGCUGGUCUGAGAGGAUGGCCAGCCACACUGGAACUGAGACACGGUCCAGACUCCUACGGGAGGCAGCAGUGGGGAAUCUUGCACAAUGGGCGAAAGCCUGAUGCAGCGACGCCGCGUGGGGGAUGAAGCUUCUCGGAGUGUAAACCCCUUUCGACCGGGACGAAUACCUCGCAAGAGGGGUGACGGUACCGGUAUAAGAAGCCCCGGCUAACUACGUGCCAGCAGCCGCGGUAAGACGUAGGGGGCCAGCGUUGCUCGGAAUUACUGGGUGUAAAGGGUUCGUANGCGGUGUGGCAAGUCGGGAGUGAAAUCUCUGGGCUC
rnacentral:rRNA from 1 species